rnacentral:rRNA from 1 species
GUACACUCCUGCGGGAGGCAGCAGUGGGGAAUUUUGGACAAUGGGCGAAAGCCUGAUCCAGCAAUGCCGCGUGAGUGAAGAAGGCCUUCGGGUUGUAAAGCUCUUUUGUCAGGGAAGAAACGGUGAAAGCUAAUAUCUUUUGCUAAUGACGGUACCUGAAGAAUAAGCACCGGCUAACUACGUGCCAGCAGCCGCGGUAAUACGUAGGGUGCAAGCGUUAAUCGGAAUUACUGGGCGUAAAGCGUGCGCAGGCGGUUUUGUAAGUCUGAUGUGAAAUCCCCGGGCUCAACCUGGGAAUUGCAGUGGAGACUGCAAGGCUAGAAUCUGGCAGAGGGGGGUAGAAUUCCACGUGUAGCAGUGAAAUGCGUAGAUAUGUGGGGGAACACCGAUGGCGAAGGCAGCCCCCUGGGUCAAGAUUGACGCUCAUGCACGAAAGCGUGGGGAGCAAACAGGAUUAGAAACCCCGGUAGUCCCAUGAU